ACAAAAUACAAAUACAAAACUAAAUACAAAUGAAAUUAAUCUUAAGUAUUGAAUUGCAUUAACACAUUUUAAGACAUUUGCGGUUUUGUCCUUCUCUUAAAAUUCAUGCAUAUUAAGAAGUUUGAUAUAUUAGUUUUCCUUCUGAGUUUUCAUUCGACUUACGUAUAUGAGGAGCUAUCAAUAGCUGAAAGGGAAUGAAG
rnacentral:lncRNA from 1 species